CGGGAUGUGCUGCUGUCUUGGGGAGGUAACUCUUUAGUGGCUUUUUGCGCGUAUUUUUCUUCCUUACAUAAGACUUAAUCACUUAUUUCCAUCAGCAUGACUUCCUACGUGCUUUUUUCGUGGAGGUAAAGACACGCCCGUAAGGGACAGAGACGUGGAUAUUUUCAGUUGUUUUUCCAGGACCAGUGUCGCAGCCUACAUUUGCAACUUGUUGCAAAUCACUGGUUGGAUGCAAGAACUGCAUGGGCACCUGGUAUGAGAGCCCACCGCCAGCCAGUUACCCGAAGUGUUUGAGCCAGGACGGCACACGACGUGCCACGACAGGGCUUUAUGAGGCCGUGCAUGCUCUUAGGAAUAAUUCACCAUACUGUUUGAAUGUUUAUGUGUGUAUGUUUAGCAAUAAUGUGUUUUUUUUAUUUCAGUUCUUAAACAGAUAUGAAUACAGUGUAGUAAAUAAUUCGAUUUUUGUUUAUUACUUGAAGAGAAAGGCUACGCCGAACAAAGAUAAUUUAUUGUGCAAUGAUUAUUGUAAUGCAUGUAUACAUUAAAUCAAAUCCAAUGACUUGAAACAAAAGCAGGCAUGUAUAUUGGUAUAUAACUUUACUGUUGAUCUUUUCAUUAUUCCAUUAGACUAGCCAAAAAGGGCUGUGCCAAGACUCGUCUAUUCUUCCACUAUAAUACAUGUAAUAGUGAACAUUUUAUUAUUCAAAAUAAUAGUUUCAAAGGGAGGAAACUGCGCACUAAGAUUAAUCAUGAGUUAUCAUCCAAAUAAAGCUGCGCAGCGCCCCUCGUUUUCCGUUUUCCGUGUAUCGUUUUAUCAAAUCAAGAACGAUAAAUGAGAGCAGGCGCUUUGUUUCAAUUUUCAAAUAUUGAUUUUUGUAACACUGUUUUACUGCAUGAAACAAUUUUAUCUCUAAUGAAAAGGCUUAAUAGAUAGAACAGUUUUACACUCAAUUCUCGACAUCAAUACAGUUUGUGCGUGCACCUUUUAUUUUCAGAGAAUUACCAGCGCAAAAGCGUUUAUACUUAAAGGCUAUAUUCUCAUAUUUAGUACUUACUUCCAUAUUCCUGUCAACAUGUUAACAUGUAAAAGUAUAAAGAGCAGUGGAAGCGAGGCCUCACUUUAAUGUAUUGCAUUUCAACCCGCGAGGUAUCGGGUCAAUUCGCGGUUAGUGUGUGAAUGUCAGAGUUUAUAUACAGGUCAUCACCGGAGUUCACGGCCAGUAAAAUAAUCGUUAUAUAAUAAAGACGCUAUCCAUGAACUAGGUGACCUGGAAUGUUCUUAAGACCAGAAACAUGUUAAAUGAAGGUAUUCAGCAAUAUAAUUAUGGUAUGUCAAUAAUAGAUUCUAAAUGUGUUUUCAACAAUACAAUGAUAAAUACUAUUUUUGAUUAAUUAAACAAUAAUUAUUC